UACGGAGGAUGCAAGCGUUAUCCGGAAUGAUUGGGCGUAAAGCGUCCGCAGGUGGCUGUGUAAGUCUGCUGUCAAAGAGCGAAGCUCAACUUCGUAAAGGCAGUGGAAACUACACGGCUAGAGUGCGUUCGGGGCAGAGGGAAUUCCCGGUGUAGUGGUGAAAUGCGUAGAUAUCGGGAGGAACACCAGUGGCGAAGGCGACUUCCUGGCCUGUUCUUGACGCUGAGGCGCGAAAGCUAGGGGAGCAAACGGG
rnacentral:rRNA from 1 species